rnacentral:rRNA from 1 species
AUUGAACGCUGGCGGCAUGCCUUACACAUGCAAGUCGAACGGCAGCACGGGAGCAAUCCUGGUGGCGAGUGGCGAACGGGUGAGUAAUAUAUCGGAACGUGCCCAGUCGUGGGGGAUAACGCAGCGAAAGCUGUGCUAAUACCGCAUACGAUCUACGGAUGAAAGCGGGGGAUCGCAAGACCUCGCGCGAUUGGAGCGGCCGAUAUCAGAUUAGCUAGUUGGUGGGGUAAAGGCCUACCAAGGCGACGAUCUGUAGCUGGUCUGAGAGGACGACCAGCCAGACUGGAACUGAGGCACGGUACAGACUCCUACGGGAGGCAGCAGUGGGGAAUUUUGGACAAUGGGCGCAAGCCUGAUCCAGCAAUGCCGCGUGCAGGAUGAAGGCCUUCGGGUUGUAAACUGCUUUUGUACGGAACGAAACGGUGAGCUCUAAUACAGUUUGCUAAUGACGGUACCGUAAGAAUAAGCACCGGCUAACUACGUGCCAGCAGCCGCCGUAACAC